GUGGGGAAUCUUGCGCAAUGGGCGAAAGCCUGACGCAGCCAUGCCGCGUGAAUGAUGAAGGUCUUAGGAUUGUAAAAUUCUUUCACCGGGGACGAUAAUGACGGUACCCGGAGAAGAAGCUCCGGCUAACUUCGUGACAGCAGCCGCGGUAAUACGAAGGGGGCUAGCGUUGCGCGGAAUUACUGGGCGUAAAGGGCGCGUAGGCGGACAGCUUAGUCAGAGGUGAAAGCCCAGGGCUCAACCUUGGAAUUGCCUUUGAUACUGGCUGUCUUGAGUGUGGGAGAGGUGAGUGGAACUCCGAGUGUAGAGGUGAAAUUCGUAGAUAUUCGGAAGAACACCAGUGGCGAAGGCGACUCACUGGCCCAAUACUGACGCUGAGGCGCGAAAGCGUGGGGAGCAAACAGGAUUAGAAACCCUUGUAGUCC
rnacentral:rRNA from 1 species